CCUUGCUAAUGCCUUCUUUGGAAUAGAUGAAGUGUCUGAGGGUCAAGACUCAUUUGUCUUCAUGGGAGAGGAUGGAUAAUAGAUGUUUACAAUCUUAUCUGGAGUAUGUCUCCAUCACAUCAUCUUAUGUCAUGAUAUGGUAAAAAACCUGCUGCCAACAUGAACUGGUAAAAAUGUUUAUAUAAUUAUCACAUCAGAUUUUCUUUCAGUGCUCACCAAGGAUACUCACGUGAUUUUGCCUCAUUUGCAAAGAAGAGAGUAGACCUUGAACUCCAACAAAGUGCAGGGUCAUGGCUUAUCAGUGAAAUUCUUGGGCUUUGUCUGGUCAGGAAAUGAUGAGGCUGACUAACUGGCAAAGAUAAAAUGACUAGAGCAAACCCCUGCAGGAGAAGUUGCCCCUUGGCUAAAUCAUAGAUUAAAGAAUGCAGGUUGGAAGAUUAUGUUAACAACAAGGUUGCUAAACAAUAGGUUUAAGCAACUGCUUAACAAUAAACCUAUAAACAACAGGUUUAUUCCUGGACUGAGUAAUGGAAGUUGCACAUCAUGCUAACCAGAAUAACUGUUGGAUCUGCUCAGAACUCUGAGUGCAGCACAAGAACUUCCCUGGAUAUCUUAACCUGGAAAUGAGAUGGAAUAGACUUGGCUGACACUGACUAGACUGCCUGCAAAAAUGGCCUUCAUAUGAUUACACUAAAGAGAAAAACGUUUGCUUUGAUUGGAGACAUUAAAUUUCUCUCAAGUACCUGGUUCUCGGCUGACACAACAUCUUUGUUUGUACGUGGUGCUGAGGAUCGAACCCGGGCAGCAUGCAUGCCAGGCGAGCGCGCUACCGCUUGAGCCACAUCCCCAGCCCCUAUCUUCAAUCUUUAGAAGAGGACCUGAACAGAAUGAUACUUAUUGUACGCUAAAGAAAUAUACUCAUAAAACAACUGAGAAAUUCACCUGUACAGUGGGCAUGCAACUUAUCCCAUAUA